CAGCCGUGAAAUCUAGAGGAAAUAGAACACUUGCUGCAAUUGGCCUGGAUCUGGCUACUCCAAAACAUAGAAUCCCCAUCAGAUAGUAGCUGGCUGCAGUUAAAAGUAAUACAAAUAUUUUUAAUUUGUACGACGUUUGUAAUUAAAUUUUAAGUAUAAAAUUUCAAGUAUAAAAAUUACAGGAACAUGGGGAGAUAAGGAGAUUAUAGGAAAAGCCUGCACAGAGCAUAAGGGAUCAUGAGUGUCUGUAUGUAUACAAAUCUAAAGAAUGUGUAAGGACCUUGGUUCUCUAGAACUAGGAAAUGCUCAGAAAGAAUCUGAAUCCCAGGAAGAGUGCAUGUAGAACCUAGGAACAUUCAUGAAAGCCUACAUAGAAGCUACUGUGAGCUGAAGGUUUUGAACUACUGGAGUCUCCAUCUUCUAUACACAUGGACGUUUCUUCACCAAUACCAUGAUAUAAAGACGCGGAUGAACAAGGACAACGUUAGUCUGUCAUGGCCGCCUAAGAUCAUAUGAUAUUGUUAACGACGAAAGGACGCUGCACGGAAGAAUGAUUGUAAGAAGAAACCGGCGAUCCUUAAAUAAGGAUAAGUGUAAAGAGAUAAGUCUCUCAUUAGUUGCUCCUCAGUCUUGGUAAAAUACAGGGAGAACCAGAGAGAUCUUAGGAAGACUUCAGGCGAAUUUAUUUUUGUAUAUAAUCUCUCUGUGUAUAAAUACUUUAAUAUUGGCCAUACAGUCUAUGCAUUUUCAGUACUAAAUGUUGGCAGCAUACAUAUUUGUGACAUUUUGUUAAUUUUCGAAAAAUGAAUUAAAAAUAUUACUCUGGAGUUUAUUUCCAUUCCUGUAUAUAGAGCGAAUGAUAAAUAACGAAUUAGACCAGUAAGACAUUUUUCUCCUACACUUUCCCUUUUGCACGCGACGAUAUAUUUUGAAGAUGCACGCAGAAAACUUGUUUGAAAAUGGGCGCGCGGUGGAAAUCUUCUAUAAUCACAAAAAGAGGAAGUGGAAUUACUGGACCCACAUUUACUUAGCAAACGUUAUUUAUUCUGAAAGCUCCGAAUUUUGUAAUGACAACUUUCGUUGCAUUUUAUCAAAUUUGGCGGGAUUUAUUUUUGAAAUGCAACACUACUAUUUCGCCACGAAAUAUAAGAAACAAAUCGAAAGGAGGAUAAAGGAAAAAGUUCUCAAUAUUUUUUAAUUUAUUAAUAUAGAUAAUAAAAAUAAUUAAAUUAAUAAAAAAAAAU